GUCAGCGGCGGGUCCGGGUUCGGGUUCGGGAUCGGGAUCGGGAUCGGGAUCGGGAUCAGGAGGGGGUCCUCGUCCCUUGGACGGGGAGCCGGAGACGGAUUAUUCUCUGCGGGGCAACACCAACAAUUUCCAUUCAACCUGUGGUGAGAGGUUUAUUGGAAGAAAAACCCCAACUGGAAGCAAACCAUGGCUAAAGAUGUGGGAACAGCAACAAGUGAACUGGCCCGAGGACUGAGAGCAUCAACUGGAGAGAACAACACUGAAUCAGCUGACUUGGAGUUCCCAGUGAGUCAGUGAGGAGGAAGUUUGUUAGACCUGCGGUGAGAGGUUUCUUGGAAGAAAAACCCCAACUAGAAGCAAACCACGGCUAAGACAAGGGAACAGCAACAAGUGAACCAGCCCGAGGACUGAGAGCACCGACUGGAGAGGACCCAUCUGACUCAGGGUUUCCAUUGAUUCAGUCAGGAGAAAGUCUGGGAGGAUGUUCAAGUCAUCUCUGUGUUAAAAGUUUAGCCAUCACGGUGACUGAAGGCAGCUGCAGGAUCAUGAGGGACGGUUCUGAUUCUGAAGUUCUUGUGGCUGCUCGUCGCACCCAGGACUGAACCCUGGUCACUGAGCAUUGGAGGACUCCGUUCUGCUGAUGUUAGUCUUAAUCUAGAUUGGUGUUUAAUAUUGUGGAUCUGUGAAAGAUAAAUCAGUUCUGUAUCAAAUCCCGUGUCUCAGGUACUUACUGUCUCUACCACACUCAUAAUGUACUCUAAAAAGGCCACUCAGCCCAUCUGGUUCCUGCCCAUGUUUCUGUUCCAUAUCCGUAUAUCAAAAUCUCUCCCUGCCGUUCCCCUCUCACUCUCCCUGAGAUGACAGGUUGCAACUAGUCACCACUCUGUGGGAUAGGAGAUUUCCCGUGAACUGCAUGGAAACAUAUAAAUGCACAACUCAUUACAGAUGCUUUGUCCCACAUUGCUGUGCCGACCAUGUAUCUUACUCUAGAAGCUGCUUAGUAUUACCCUGCCGCAUAGCUACCUAUUUUCCUAAGCUCCAUGUACCUAUCUGAGAGUAUCUUAAAAGACCCUAUUGUAUCCACCUCUACCAUCGUCGCUGGCAGUGCAUUCCACACACACACCUCUCUUUGCUUAAAAAACUUGGCUCUGACGCCUCCCCUGUACCUACUUCCAAGCAGCUUAAACCUAUUCCCCCUCAUGUUAGCUAUUUCAGCCCUGGGAAAAAGCCUC